AGAGUUUGAUCCUGGCUCAGGACGAACGCUGGCGGCGUGCCUAACACAUGCAAGUCGAACGGAGAAUUCAAUAAGCUUGCUUAAAGAAUUCUUAGUGGCGGACGGGUGAGUAACGCGUGGGUAACCUACCCAUAAAGCCGGGACAACCCUUGGAAACGAGGGCUAAUACCGGAUAAUCUUAGGUGCUGGCAUCAGUAUUUAAGGAAAGAUGGCCUCUGAAGAUGCUAUCGAUUAUGGAUGGACCCGCGUCUGAUUAGCUAGUUGGUGGGGUAAAGGCCUACCAAGGCGACGAUCAGUAGCCGGCCUGAGAGGGUGAACGGCCACACUGGGACUGAGACACGGCCCAGACUCCUACGGGAGGCAGCAGUGGGGAAUCUUCCGCAAUGGACGAAAGUCUGACGGAGCAACGCCGCGUGUAUGAUGAAGGUCUU
rnacentral:rRNA from 1 species